rnacentral:misc_RNA from 1 species
GAUGAAGAACGUAGCGAAAUGCGAUAAGUAGUGUGAAUUGCAGAAUUCAGUGAAUCAUCGAAUCUUUGAACGCACAUUGCGCCCGCCAGCAUUCUGGCGGGCAUGCCUGUUCGAGCGUCAUUUCAACCCUCGACUUCCCUUUGGGGAAAUCGGCGUUGGGGACUGGCAGCAUACCGCCGGCCCCGAAAUGGAGUGGCGGCCCGUCCGCGGCGACCUCUGCGUAGUAAUCCAACCUCGCACCGGAACCCCGACGUGGCCACGCCGUAAAACACCCCACUUUCUGAACGUUGACCUCGGAUCAGGUAGGAAUACCCGCUGAACUUAAGCAUAUCAAUAAGCGGAGGA